rnacentral:rRNA from 1 species
GACGUCAAGUCAUCAUGGCCCUUAUGUCUGGGCUACACACGUGCUACAAUGGCUGGUACAAGGAGACGCAAGACCGCGAGGUGGAGCAAAUCUUCAAAACCAGUCCCAGUUCGGAUUGUAGGCUGAAACUCGCCUGCAUGAAGUCGGAGUUGCUAGUAAUCGUGAAUCAGAAUGUCACGGUGAAUGCGUUCCCGGGUCUUGUACACACCGCCCGUCACACCAUGGAAGCUGGGGGCGCCCGAAGUUGGUCGAGAAAUAGAUUACCUAAGGCGAAAUCAGUGACUAGGGU